UUAUUCUCUCUCUCCCCUUUCCUAUUCUCCAUCGCCUUCUCCUUCUUCUCUUCUCCAAUUGAGCCAAUCACCUUCCUCGUCUUCUUUGCCUUCUCCUUCCUCUGCUCUUCGAACCCACAGUGUGGGAGACAACAGACGACGUCAGGGGAGACCACGAAAGAGUUCGCCUUCUCCUUCCCCCUCCCCCUUCCCCAUCUUCUUCACCUUCUCCUUCCUCGAAUAUGGGUCUCGUUCUCGAUCCGUGGGUGGGGAUUCCGAAGUGGAAGAGUGAAAGGGGGUUUGCCCACCUGCUACCCCCUCCCCUUUGGCGUGCUCGAUUUGUUGCAUCUCAUACGGUGAAGAAGUUUGAAGCCUUGAAUCCAACAGCAACUUGAGAUUGAACAGAGAAGACGAAGGCCUAGAUCAAAGGAGGUAACUGAGAAUUGGAUUAAUUAUAUAAGCAUGGAUGUUAUGUCUGUUGGAAAGUCUGAGUUUGAAUUUUAUUUGGAUGAGGCAAUAUUUCAACCCCAGGCAUAUCAAGAUUUAGACGCUCUCAAUUGAUGGAACACUAAUAAGGAUAGUGAAGAGAAAGAGAGGAUUGAGGGAGAAGAGGUAGUGGAAGAGGAAGAAGGAGAGGGAGAGGGGGAGGGAGAGGAAGAGGAGGAAUCACUUGAACUAAAUCUAAAUGUGGAUUUGUUUGCCAUUGAGAGUACAAAUGUAGUUUUGAAUGAUGAUGAGGAACAGGAAGAGCCACAUGAUUUGGAUUUAGCUUGACUUUCAUUUGUAUUGUUAAUUAUUGUUAUGUUUUAACUUUAAUGUCAUGUUGAGUGUGUUGUUAUUUUGUUGGAUUAUUUAUUUUGAAUGUUAGACUAGUAUGGUGAA